AGCUGGGGUUGUUAUCUUAUUAUAUGCCUUUUAAGAUAACAUUAUAUCAUGAGCAUCUUUGUCAAUAAACACAGCUCUGCAUAUUUCCAUGACUUCAAUUCAACUACUUUUCUAUUGUUGGACAUUCACAUUUGUUUGCUAUUCUAAAUGUCACAAUAAAUUUACAAAAUGUAUUCUGGGAAUG